CUACCGUUAGCUCAGUUGGUAGAGCAAAAGACUAUAGUUAUUACCAAAUCAGUAUUCCUUAGGUCACCGGUUCGCCCCGGGUACGGUAGA
rnacentral:tRNA from 1 species